GAGGCUUUUCUUCCUGAAGGACCUGGAUAUUUCCAUCACCCCUCUCCAGGUCAUCUAAUGGCUGAGGCCACUGCAGCGAGUGGAGAGCAUGGCCAUGGAGCUGGACAACUAAUGUCACAUCUUCCUGGACAGCAAGAAGAGGCCAACUAUGUGAUGCAUUGACUACCUGUUCUGCCACCUAUGCAUCCUGUUUGGGCAAAGAACAAAUCUGUGUGCCAGA